AUUGAACGCUGGCGGCAGGCUUAACACAUGCAAGUCGAGCGGGGAAGAGUAGCUUGCUACUUUACCUAGCGGCGGACGGGUGAGUAAUGCUUAGGAAUCUGCCUAUUAGUGGGGGACAACAUCUCGAAAGGGAUGCUAAUACCGCAUACGUCCUACGGGAGAAAGCAGGGGACCUUCGGGCCUUGCGCUAAUAGAUGAGCCUAAGUCGGAUUAGCUAGUUGGUGGGGUAAAGGCCUACCAAGGCGACGAUCUGUAGCGGGUCUGAGAGGAUGAUCCGCCACACUGGGACUGAGACACGGCCCAGACUCCUACGGGAGGCAGCAGUGGGGAAUAUUGGACAAUGGGGGGAACCCUGAUCCAGCCAUGCCGCGUGUGUGAAGAAGGCCUUUUGGUUGUAAAGCACUUUAAGCGAGGAGGAGGCUACCGAGAUUAAUACUCUUGGAUAGUGGACGUUACUCGCAGAAUAAGCACCGGCUAACUCCGUG
rnacentral:rRNA from 1 species